UUUUAGUACGGCUAUACAGUGGAUUGCUCAACAAAAACUUCUCAUCGAUUCUAUUUUACAUUUACUUGAUGAUUUUCUCCUUAUAUCACCAUCUUAUGACACCUGUGCAGUUCGGUUAAAACGUUUUCUCGAUUUUUGCACUUUUAUUGGAUUGCCCAUGGCACCGGAAAAAACGUGUGGUCCUUCAACCACGCUUUGUUUUGCAGGUAUUGAGUUAGACACGAUCAGAUUUGAGGCCCGUUUACCUUUGGAAAAAUUGAGAAAAUGUGUUGACCUUAUUUCUGAUUUUCAAAAGCGUAAGAAGAUUACCUUAAGGGAAAUUCAAUCUUUAAUUGGCCUUUUAAAUUUUGCAUGUUCUGUCAUCAUUCCCGGCAGGGCAUUCUUGCGUCGCUUAAUUGAUCUCACCCACGGCAUCCGUUUAUCUCAUCACCUUAUCAGGCUUAAUCGCGAGACAAAACAAGACUUAAAUGUGUGGCUAUCGUUUUUAGCAAAUUACAAUGGCCGGUCAUUUUUUCUCGAGG